rnacentral:rRNA from 1 species
AUUGAACGCUGGCGGAAUGCUUUACACAUGCAAGUCGAACGGUAGAGGGGGCAACCCCUUGAGAGUGGCGAACGGGUGAGUAAUAUAUCGGAACGUGCCCAGUCGUGGGGAUAACGUAGCGAAAGUUACGCUAAUACCGCAUACGAUCUAAGGAUGAAAGCGGGGGAUCGCAAGACCUCGCGCGAUUGGAGCGGCCGAUAUCAGAUUAGGUAGUUGGUGGGGUAAAGGCUCACCAAGCCAACGAUCUGUAGCUGGUCUGAGAGGACGACCAGCCACACUGGAACUGAGACACGGUCCAGACUCCUACGGGAGGCAGCAGUGGGGAAUAUUGGACAAUGGGCGCAAGCCUGAUCCAGCCAUGCCGCGUGUGUGAAGAAGGCCUCGGUUGUAAGUACACUUUCUAGCGAGGAGGAAGGGUUAGUAGU